rnacentral:rRNA from 1 species
GACGAACGCUGGCGGCGUGCCUAAUACAUGCAAGUCGAACGCAGUGGGGACGGGUGAGUAACACGUGGGUAACCUCCCAUCAGAGGGGAUAACACUUGGAAACAGGUGCUAAACCGACACUGAUGGAUCGACUCGCGGUGCAUUAGCCAGUGGGGGGGGUAACGGCUCACCAAGGCCACGAUGCAUAGCCGACCUGAGAGGGUGAUCGGCCACACUGGGACUGAGACACGGCCCAGACGCCUACGGGAGGCAGCAGUGGGGAAUCUUCGGCAAUGGACGAAAGUCUGACCGAGCAACGCCGCGUGAGUGAAGAAGGUUUUCGGAUCGUAAAGCUCUGUUGUUAGAGAAGCGGUAUCUGACCAGAAAGCAACGGCUAACUACGUGCCAGCAGCCGCGGUAAUAC